CACCAUGGGAGGCAGUGGCCACCCUGCCAUGUUUCUGCCUCUUUCCCCACAACCUUGAACUUUUCCUGACCUCUCCAUGAAUUGCAUUCAUGUGGGGUCUUUGGCCUGAAACCCAUACCUGAGAGAGGAGCUGUUUCAAGGGCAAAGCCGGUGUUCUUCAGGAAACAUUCAGCCACUGGGAGCAGUGGGGUCCAGGAAGGCUCCAAGGAGGCAUUGCAGGACUCAGAUCUAUUACCUUUGUUCUUUGGUGCUGCUUCUUUGUUGUCUAUGAAAGUGUAAUGCACCCUGAUGAUGCACAGCUGUGACCUGGACUUCAAAGAGACCUGAAGGAAAUUGGGUUAGCACAAUUGCAUUUGGACCCUAUUUUAAGCAACUAUAGACGUACACUUGUAAAAAUGGAAUUUAAAUGGGAUUUUUACAAAUGUGUAAGUCUUUUCCAAUUUAUAAUAUUUGUAGUGAUAUAAAUUUGGAGAUUCUUUUCACUUUUUGACAAUAGCCUUUAAGACUUCAAUCUUGAAUUUCUCUGUUUCUAGCACCUUAAGUUAAGGAGCCUAUAAACUGGUGAUGUAUCAACACCUGUAUCAACACAAUUCAUUCUUCAAGAUAUCUUUUGAUGAAGAAUUUUGUCACUGAUAGAAUCUCCUUGUUAGGGCAACAAUAUUACAGGUAAACUCAGUUUAUUUUGUGUUAUAUUGCCUUUUUUAUUUUUAAAACAUCUUUACUUUUUGUUGGUUGCAGAAGUGUAAAAAGGUAGUAUAGGGAUGCCUGGGUGGCUUAGUGGUUGAGUAUCUAUCUGUCUUUAGCUGAGCUUGUGAUCCUGGGGUCCUAGGAAGGAGUCCUGCAUUGGGCUCCCCGCAGGAAGCCUGCUUCUCACUCUGCCUGUGUCUCUGACUUUUUCUGUCUCUCAAGAAUAAAUAAACAAAAUCUUUAAAAAAAGUAGUAUUAAAAAUACAUUUUUAAAAUAAUAAAAUUUACAAAGUUUAAAGUGAAAACUUACUAAUCUCACUUGAAGAGAUAAAGCAUCCAGAAUUUGUUAUGCAAAGUUCUAAACAUUUCUACAUAUAUUUAGGACAUGAAGAGCCUCCACUAACCAUAUAAUAUAUGGUUAUAUAUGGCA
rnacentral:lncRNA from 1 species